GGACAGGUGGCCGAGAGGUUGAAGGCACCGGUCUUGAAAACCGGCGUAGGUGUGAGCUUACCGUGGGUUCGAAUCCCACCCUGUCCGCCA
rnacentral:tRNA from 1 species